AGUUUUUCUCAUCUAUAAAAAAGAGAAUUAGAUUAGGUAGCUCCUAAGGUCCUUUCUUAUAUCUAAUAUUCUAUAAAAUCAAAGUGUAAGCAGUGGAGAGGGAAGCACAGGAGUAGUUAAGAAAAGGUAAGUGGGAAAGCUCAAUGCUUGAGGAAGGGUUUUCUGGGGAGAAAAGAGGCAGGAUAGGUGCUCUCUUCAUUCUUUACUCCAGCUUCUCUCCUGCCUUUCUAAGUGCUCUAGAUAACCAAGAAAUGUUCCUUUCUUUGUGCCCUCUUUUUCCUUUUUGGUUUUGCAUGUGUGUUUCUUUACACCUGUCUCUACACCACUCACUGCCAUCUUUACUUCUCUCUAAGAAAUGGAUAUAGUUAGGAUUUGUUAGGAAAAGGCAAAGGUUUUGAUAAAAGCUAGAAAAAUAAUUUUACAACUUAAUUUUGUGCAUUUAUUAUCUAGGAUCUGUUAUUGUUUCAAUUGUAAUGAAAUAUUUGAUCUCUUGGGUUGUAUGUUAAUGAUGAGAAUCAUGAUGAUGACACUAACCUUGAGGACUUCUUAUGUGGCAGGGACUAUUUUUAAUGCUUUAGGAGUAAUAACUUACUUAAUCCUCAUGACAACAUUAUGUGAUAGAUACUGUAGUCAUUAUUCAUAUAAGGACACUGACUAAAGAGAGGUUAAGUAACUUGCCAAAAUUUUAUAGCUAAUUGUGGCAAAGUUGGGAUUCAGUUCUGUUAUUUUAAUAUCACUGCUCUUGUACACCCAGUCUUACUACAUUUCCUGCAAGGCAGAUAUGAUAUAUUUUAUUCAUUUUCAUAUCCUCUUUAGAAUUGGUAUAUGGCUACAAGAAAGUGUACUUUGAAUUUGAGUAGAAUUGAAGUAAAGAAACUCCAUCCUUCCUGGAAAGAGGUAGCUGUCCAUAGGUUCCUUUGGCUCAGAGCUCUGGGAGAAGCAUGCUUAUAAUGUCCUCCUGAGUAUGUUGCUGAUAAAUAAUUGACUUAUUAUUUGAAAGUGUCCAGUUCCUUUCUACGUGAAAGUCAUGAACCCUUAAUUUAGAAGAUUCAAUUUUGAUAAAGUUAUGCGAUUUAAAGAAGUUAAAUUUCUGUGCAAAGGCUGAUGCUAGUAUUAUUUAAACAAAUGUGCUGAUAAGUUAACAUACUAACAAAAUGAUGGUUGAAGAAAUAGCUAGAAACAAAGGGCCAGUUAUUUUCUUUAAGGUUUCAUUUGCCUGAACACAGUUAACUUCUUUUCAGAUACACCGUUUUUCACUUAUUAAGAACAUUUGACACAGAAAAAAGGAUCAAUAUGUUUAUACUCCCAAGUUCAAUAUUUAUACCUUUACACCUUUAUAUGUGGUAUUAGUGGUGAGAGAAAGAAGCAGGAGAGUUAAUUCUUUUUAUAUUUGUUGCUGUGGUACAAAGAUAAUACUUUCUUGGUGGGAUUUUUUGUAUUAGAAGACAUAAGAUGCAUUGUUUAUUCAUUAUACCCUCUAAUACCUCUCCUAGCUGGUCAUAUUUCCAGCCAACUCUGUCAUCUGGAACAUAUAUAUACAUAUAUACACACAUAUAUAUACAUAUAUAUACAUAUAUAUACAUACAUACACACACACACACACAUAUAUAUAUAUGCUUGAAAAUAUAGGAUUGUAGAAAAUUACUCUUGAAAGGAUCUUAGGGAUAAUUUAACCUGGUUGCUUUACUUUGUAGGUGACAGUUACAGCCCCAGUGAAUUAGGGGCUUAGCCAUAGAUUAAAAAAAAAAUCUACAAAUGUGAAACAAUAGGCCAGGGAUUUAGCUUAGUGUUUCCAGUGCCUGCCUUGCAAGUGCAAGGUCCCGAGUUCAAUCCCUGGUACCAAAAGCAAAACAAAACAAAUAGGAAACAGUAAUGACAAAAUCUGCAUAGUGUUUAUUCUGUUAUUUAUUUUGUAAAUAUUUUUGAAGGAGUUAUUAUGUGUGAGAUUUUUAAGGAGAGUGUAGUCUUCUUUGGGCUAGGGCCCUUCCUUGAAACUCUUAUCAAAUGCAUGCAUCAUGAGGCCAUGGAUGAGAAAUACCUGAGAAUUGUUCUUGGUAAACACUUUGCAAAUGACAAUGACUUAAUCUUGUUCAAUCUCCAGAGUCUUCUGCCUUCUGAGGAAGGAAGCUGUUAAUGACAGGAAGAAAUGAACAUACAGAAUAGAAAUCUGGGACACUUAGUAUAAACAAGUCUAACAAAUGUAAGGAAUUAUUUUUAUUUCAGUGCUAAGUCUAAGUUUUUGUUGAUAACCAUGAGUCAAGAAAAGAUUCAAAUUCUUUCCACCAACCAUUUUAGCAUAAUGAUUAAUUGUGUGAUACAUUUUUGAAGCCUUUCAAAUAUAAAGAGUACUGGUGCCUAAAAGAGUGAUCCUUAGUUCUCUGGGAUAUGUAUUCCAUUGUCAUCAAAACUUACUGAUCACUUGCUGUGUGUAACAACUUAUCUCUUGGCCAUGAAUAGAUAUAUCUCAUGUUCAUGGAGGGGAAAAUUGAGUGUCAUUGUAAAUAAACUUGAUGUUUAACCAUUAAAUUUACAACAGUGUGUUGAAUACUGAAACAUGGCUAUUAAGGUUGUUGUGUGAGGGGUCAUGGUAUAUGUGAGAUAGAGAGUGAAGGGAGUUAAUUAUCAACUUUAAUUUCUGUAGUCUAGACAGAGUAUCAACUCUGACUUCAUUUGAUCUUGUGUAAUACUUGAUAUUAUCAUGAUUUUUCUCAUAGAGGAAAUUUGGAAUCAAGGGAUAGGGUAAUUUAUCCAUGAUAAUAUGGCUGACUAACAGUUAAAACUGGAUCUCUGUCAGAUCCUUAAAUUGAGGAUUGGUCUUUUAUGUGUGAAACAAGUGGCAUUUAACUGUCCAGAUGACUUGGAGUAUACUUACAUACAUUAACUUAUGUAUGUGUCCACCUAUCUAACAAAUAUUUGAAAACCAACUUUUUGCGACUCUAAGCAGAGGCCAAUCUGAAUUAAAAGAAAAUUUCAGUGCUAUGAUAAAUAAUAAAAGUACUCGACAAAACCGUAUGAUUUGUUGUUAUUUUAGCCUACAGAUUCCAUUACUUUUCUAUCCUAUUUCUUAUAUAUAGACCUUUUUAAAAAUUUAAAAACAUCUAUUACCCAUAAGAACAAAAUUAAGUCAUUCAUAGUUGCUGUAUUAAUUUUUUUUUUUUUUUUUGUACCGGGGAUCAAACUCGGGUCCUUGAGCUUGCGCAGCAGGCGGCGAAACCACUGAGCUAAAUCCCCGGCCCUGCUGUAUUCAUUUUUUAAAAAUUGCACAUUGGUACUAAAUUAGUAAUGCUGGUCCUGAUGACUAAAUUAAGACAGGUAUUCUUUUUUCCCUCCAUUUUCAAGAUGGUAGCUUCCACUAUCCAACCUUUUGGUUAUGUUGUAUGUGCAGCAUUUACCAUAGCACCUCCAAGAUUUCUAAGUAAAUGGGAUAUCAAAUGAUGUUUUAUUGCCUCAUCAGCCCUGAGUUAGAGAAGUCUAGAAUGUUACUUGUCACAUCUAAUUGCUUACUGUCCGAGUGCAAAGCAGCUCCUCUUCCCAUCCUACUUCUGGAAGGCAAAUUACAUCCCAGAUCUUAUGCCAUCCUUAUGACAAAGUGAUAACCAAGGGGUAUUUUUAAAGUACAUCAGUGUGUGAUCAUAUUUUCCUCCAACUACUCAAUGCUGUUGUCUUAAGACUUACAUUGAUUGGUAAGUUGAUUAUUUAAUUAAUUAAUUUAUCAGAUAUUUUGAAAACAUAUACUAUAUGCCAGGGUAUAGACUAUGUCCAAGGACUAGGAUAAAAAAGGUGGGAAAACCAAGUUUUUCUACAGAGUUUACUGAUACGUCAUAGGUUAAAUGUAAAAGACUGAAAUACCUAAAGAAAUCAAAUUACUUUUCUGCAAUUCAAAGAAUAUGUAUAAGAUAGCCAUAUCACAGCC
ensembl:lncRNA